GGUACUAACAACUCAUGUGUCUGCCUUGAGGACUGUGUGUGUUGGUGAGUGCUGGGGACUCCAUAUAGAUGGAAGGACUGAGGUUUUGAAAUGCAACCUACCUUGAAUAUAGAGCCAUCUGGGUGCAAACCACUGCUCUCCUAGCCUUCUGGACAAACAAGCCUGUUUAAAGGUGAGUUGUAGGUUGUGAUAAAUGAUUUGUUUGAACCACAUUUCCCAGAGCAAACAAUUUUCCCAGGCCAUGUGAUGGGAGCCCAUUCUUUCUGAAUCUUUCAGCAUUCAAGUUCCCAUCAUUUCCUUGGAUGUCACAAGCCAGCAUACUCCAUCAAAUAAGAGAAACUUAAAGCUCUCCGUGGUCUUAAUUUCUUUAUUUUUCUAGUGUUCUUUAGCCUUCAAAAGUGAGACCAGGAAAAAAAAUCCUAUCAGUUCCACUGGUUAAUUACUUUCUCCUCCUCCUUCUACUUGUCCGUCUUUCUCACCUUCUCCACCUUUUCAUUCCCUUUCUGAUUGCAGUCUUCUUCCAUGACCUAAGAAAGAGGAGGCUAAAACUUUUGGCUACUUGAGUUUCUCUUCCCUCCCCUCCCCCAUGCCUUCCCCCUUCCUCUCCUCUCCCCUCUCUUCUCUCCUUUCCUCUCCCCCCCCUCCCUUCUUCUCUCCUCCUUCCUUUUUUUCCAUCCCCUUCCCCUCCCCCUCCUUCCUUUCCAUCUCCUCUCCCCCUACUUCUUUCUCUUUUUGAAUUUUGGGUAGCUUUCUUUCAUUUAUUCUACACUCCAUGAGCCAAAUGUUUUAAAGUUAGUUGCAAAGGAUUAUGUUUUCUUGUUUCCCAUCUUCCUUUCCUGGGAUGAUAAAUCCUAAAAUUCUGGAGCCAACCAAUCACUAACUUUCAUAAAGACUAGGGAAACCACACCAUGAUGAAGAUGUUUUAAUAGCUAUGAUUAUCUCCUCAUCAAUCACUCUCUGUUGUCUUAUUUGUAGCUGAUGCUACUUCAAAUGCCACUGGUCCAUGAAAUCCUUUAAGAUUCACUUCCAAAGCAUAAACACAGCCAGUGUUUCUAGAUAUGUUCCUACUCUAAAACAUUCAAGGUUUUUCAUUUAAACAUUCAUGAAAGAUCCUGAACAAGUCAGCAUUGUUAUGGUGUCAGUGGUGAUGGCUAUAAUAUAACCAAUAUUUUAAGAUUAAGGAAAUAUUUAUCAAAAAAUAUAAAGCACACUAUCCAAUAUCUAUAUGGCUAAGCAAGAGAAAUUACUCUUACCUCUCCUUCCACCUGAUCUUCAGCCUGCAUUUAGAUCCUCACUCCUACCUCACUCCUACCAAUUAAAAGUAUGUAUUGCGCUACCCAUUUUCAGUAAUGACCCUUUAAUACCAUGGGACAGGGCUGACAAACUCAACUACCUACAGAAGUCAUGGAGGUAAAUGAGAGAGGUGUCUGGAUAGAAGAAAAAUAAUAGAGCAAAGUUAAUAAUAUAUAGUAAGUCAGCUGCAGUGUCAGAGAUGCAAUAAGUGUGGUAGAGAUUGUGGUACAUUGAAACACACACCUCGUGUAAAGAGAAAAGAUACUCUAUUCAUUGUUGCCUGGUGAUAAUAUAGCCAUUCAUUGCCAGAUCUUCCAAAUUUCUGGAGAAGCUGGGCAUUGGAUAUUGCUGUGGCAUCUUCUAUUACCCCAAAUGCUAUCAACUUAUUCAGAUUUCUUUUUUUUUUUCUUUUUGUCCUUUUAGGGCUAUACCUGCAGCAUGUGAAGGUUCCCAGGCUAGGGGUCUAAUUGGAGCUACAGAUGCAAGUCUAUCACAGCAAUGUCAGAUCUGAGCUACGUCUUCGACCCACACCACAGCUCAUGGCAAAGCUAAAUCCUUAGCACAUUGAGUGAGGUCAGGAAUUGAAUCUGCAACCUCAUGGUUCCUAGUUGGAUUCACCUCUGCUGUGCCAUGACAGGAACUCCCCAGAUUUCUUUAACACAAAUUCAAAUAGCAUUAUGUGGAACAAAAAUCAUCUGAAAAGUAGAAUUGGCUCAAAUCAGCUAUAGCUUUGUUAUGGGACAAUUGAAGCCUGCUAUCUCUUACUAUUCUGCUGCUUUGCCAUGGACUCCAAACUCAUCAUUUUGCUAAUGAAGGAGAAACACAAACUGAAGGAAAAGAGACUUAAUGGGAACUUUCUAUGGUGCAGGCAGAAUGCAAUAACUUCAAUAUUAUUUAACAAAUAUUGAUUGACUCCCUACUUCAUGCCAGGCACUUGGUGAAAUGCUUGCAUUAUACCAGUGAACAGCACAGACAAAACCUCUGAUCUCAUUGAAUUCAUUAACCCUGGAAGGAAGAUGUAUUCUUAACAUUAAUUUUUAGAUAAGCUCCAAAAUUAUAGAAAACAUGUUUGAACCCAAUUCUGUGGUUCUUCAAAUCCUCAUCUAUUCCCAUUGUGCCAUAGUCCAUGAUAGUUCCCAGGGGAAGUGGAAUGAGGAGAUGGGGAGAUGGCCUUUACAUUAAGAUCCUGUGUGUGUGUGUUAAAGGGAUUGGGUCUGACUGAGUGACAGAUCACAUCUCACAAUUGUAAUAUGCAUGGCAAUAUCAUCACACAUUAAUUGGGCUUAUUCUUGACUCAGCACUAUAAGCGCUUUUCAUAUAUUGUCUUACUACAGUGUUAUUGUUAGGUAACAGAUAGUAUUUUCAUUUUAGAGAUAAGGAAUUGAGGUUUUAAAAAAGAUUGAAAAAGGAGUUUCUUCAUGACCUAGUUAAGGAACUGGUAUUAUCACUCUUGUGGCUUGGAUUUGAUCCCUGGCCCAGGAAUUUCUGUACACUGCUGGUGCAGCCCUCCAAAAAA
rnacentral:lncRNA from 1 species